rnacentral:rRNA from 1 species
AGUGAACGCUGGCGGUAGGCCUAACACAUGCAAGUCGAACGGCAGCACAGUAAGAGCUUGCUCUUACGGGUGGCGAGUGGCGGACGGGUGAGGAAUACAUCGGAAUCUACUUUUUCGUGGGGGAUAACGUAGGGAAACUUACGCUAAUACCGCAUACGACCUACGGGUGAAAGCAGGGGAUCUUCGGACCUUGCGCGAUUGAAUGAGCCGAUGUCGGAUUAGCUAGUUGGCGGGGUAAAGGCCCACCAAGGCGACGAUCCGUAGCUGGUCUGAGAGGAUGAUCAGCCACACUGGAACUGAGACACGGUCCAGACGCCUACGGGAGGCAGCAGUGGGGAAUAUUGGACAAUGGGCGCAAGCCUGAUCCAGCCAUACCGCGUGGGUGAAGAAGGCCUUCGGGUUGUAAAGCCCUUUUGUUGGGAAAGAAAAGCAGCAGGUUAAUACCCCGCUGUUCUGACGGUACCCAAAGAAUAAACACCGGCUAACUUCGU